rnacentral:rRNA from 1 species
CGGCAGGCCUAACACAUGCAAGUCGAGCGAAACGAGUUAACUGACCCUUCGGGUGACGUUAACGGCGUCGAGCGGCGGACGGUGAGUAAUGCCUGGGAAAUUGCCCUGAUGUGGGGGAUAACCAUUGGAAACGAUGGCUAAUACCGCAUAAUGCCUUCGGGCCAAAGAGGGGGGGGGACCUUCGGGCCUCUCGCGUCAGGAUAUGCCCCAGGUGGGAUUAGCUAGUUGGUGAGGUAAUGGCUCACCAAGGCGACGAUCCCUAGCUGGUCUGAGAGGAUGAUCAGCCACACUGGAACUGAGACACGGUCCAGACUCCUACGGGAGGCAGCAGUGGGGAAUAUUGCACAAUGGGCGCAAGCCUGAUGCAGCCAUGCCGCGUGUGUGAAGAAGGCCUUCGGGUUGUAAAGCACUUUCAACAGUGAGGAAGGCGGGUACGUUAAUAGCGUGCUCGUUUGACGUUAGCUGCAGAAGAAGCACCGGCUAACUCCGUG